ACGGAAUGAAAGUUUCUACCUCUGUGUCGGCCCUUCUUCCAUCUUGGAGUGUCUGGGUGGAACCAGCUGAACAGGAGGCAGUUGCAGGGUUUGGGUUUCCUAACCAGAAGAGGAAUCCCCUUGUUCCCUAUCCAAAGACUGCAGGAACUGAGCAGAACACAGAUGAUGCAGCUGACAAAGAAGGACAGUGCAGACCCAGGAGGAGGAGCAGGAGGGUUCAGCAUGGCUCGCCAGCUCCAGGCUGCUCCGUGAGAGCAGUCAGCAGUUUUAUGGGUGAUGUGGUAGAAGAAAAGAUGGCCGCCUUUUUAUCAGAAACCAAGAUAUUUGUUUAGCUUUAUAACCCAUAGAUUGUGUACAAAAAAAAAUAGGCAUUCAUUUCAAUUUUAAAGUAUAAAAUUAAGCAUUCUUUU
rnacentral:lncRNA from 1 species